rnacentral:lncRNA from 10 species
GACAGGAGUCACAAAGCACAUACACAGCUGUGCCCAAUACAUCGUGCAGCCAAGUACACACAAUAGGAGGCAGUUUAACAAGUAGGGAAGACAUAUACCUGCUCCUUCCGAGUUUCACCUGGAGGAAGAGUCUACAAAGAAAGGGAAGAAGGUUGCAUCUGGUAACAGGUGGGGGCCUGUGCGGCUUGAUAGCUUAACAUGUAUCAGGCGAUACUCAAAGAGCUUUACAGGCAUUCAUUUAUUUAUGCUUUACAACCACUCCUUGAGAGUGAAGUGGAAGAGAUCUUGCAACAUUUCCUGCCCCACUGACCCCCUACUUUGGGCCUUAGCCCCAAGAGAAGAAGUAUGACUACCCUACUGUUCACAAACAAAGAUGUGGAAUCAACCUAAGUGUCCAUCAAUGGAUAAUUGGAUAAAGAAAAUGUGGCAUAGAUCUAUACAAUGGAAUACUAUUCAGCUAUAAAAAAGACUGAAAUCACAUCUUUUACAAAAACAUGGAUGAAACUGGAGGCCAUUCUCUUUAAGUGAAAUCACUCGGAAAUAGAAAGUCAAAUACCGCAUGUUCUCACUUACAAGUGGGAGCUACAUAAUAUGUACUCAUGGACAUAGAGUGUGGAAUGAUGGACAUUGGAGACUUGGAAGGGUGGAGGUGGAUGGGAGGGGUUGAGGGAUGAGAAAUUAUUUAAUAGGUACAAUGUAUAUUAUUUCGGUGAUGGUUACACUAAAAACCCAGACUUCACCACUGGGCAAUAUAUCCGUGUAAUAAAACUGCAUUUGUACCCCUUAAAUUUAUACAACUAAUAAAUAAAGAAGUAUGGCUACUCUUCUAGAGAAAUAACAUGGAGAGGUCCUGAACAGCAGCA